AUAUAUAUAUAUAGAGAGAGAGAGAGAGAGAGAGAGAGAGGGAAAAGAUCAUUUGAGAACUCAUAGUUUCAUAACAACCUGAGAACCAAACAUAAAUCGUUAGAUCAAAAUAAUAAAAGGUUAAGAUGAUUUGUGACAUUUUUAUAAAUACUUACAAAAAAAAAAAGCCAGGGUACCUUAUUAAAAUGAAUUUGAGGACACUUUGGGGAUAACAUAAUUUAGUCACUUUAAUCAAAUUGAAUCCAUGAAUCUCAAACCUAAUCUCUCUCUCUCUCCACAAACCCUCGAUCGAUUCCCAAAAAAAACGUCACCAUAGGAAUUCUUUGGCUGCCUCCGGUCAUCCACACACGAGUCACCAGAGAUAUCUCCUUCUUUACUCCCCGCCGUCGUAUUGCCUCCAAACGGUGUCGCAUCCUUGCCCACAUUCUUCGUCGACUUCUCCAUUCCACCUCUAGAAUUGGAUCCAAAAGUCGAUCCACCUUUCAAUGUUGUUAUCAUCAAUCAGUACUGACGUACUAGACCUCAUAAACAAUCGUUCAAACACUAGAUUUCGUCAAAGAUCAAAUGUUCUGUAUCAAAUCGAAAGAGGCGACACCGUUGAUUUCCACAAAAAAUCACUAUAUGCUCUGUAUCAGACUAUUGGAUUCUGGCUCCAAUUUGGAUGAGGAAGAGUACGGCUUCAAUUUUUCGUUGUUGCUCUCUUUGUCUCUCUCUACAAACUCUUGAACGGUUCCCCCAAAAAGCGAUUGUUAGAUCAUCAAAAUAUUUUCUCUUGACAAUUGGUCUGGUACAACAUUAUAGAAGCUUGAAUGGUAAUAUUACGAUGAUGGCAAUAGUUGAACAUUUCUCAUGCAAACUUAGCAUAUUGGCAAAAUAUAAAGGUUAGUUGAUAAUACGUCCAUUUAUUGAUUAGAUCUAGACCUUUUUCGAUGCUUGCUUCCUCAAAUAAAUAAAAUCCUUACAAUGGUGCUUAAAGCAAGUGUUUGGUAGGAAAUAUUGCUUUAUGUGUAUGAAAAUCAAUCAGAUUGCUUCUAUUUCAACACCUAUAUUGGUUUAAUGCAUUAAUUUUCUCUUUUAUUAUCAUAUUUACUCCUUUAGGUGCUGAUUUUGAAGCAAAUCUAACUCAUUAUUAAAAUGCAUUAGACACUUGUAUUGUACAAUCGAUGGGUGAUGUAUUUUUAUAGUUUUAGCUAUUUCUUUGUAAAAAAAAAAACAAAAAUUACAUAAUUCAGCAAUGGCCAGAAUAUCCAAAAAUCAUUUUGGAAUCCAAAGGCACCAUACAUAGAACAUGACAAAGCUUUAUGGAAGCGUAAAUUUACAAUAAAGUUUUUCAUAUUUUGUCCAAAGAAAGAGAGAGGCAUAUCAAAAAUGGCCAUUCAGUUUUACUUUUCUAAAUAUUACAUGUAAUCCACACAUGAAUCACAUGUAAUUCAUAUGUCAAUCACAUGCGAUUCACAUAUAAAUCACAAGUGAUUCAUAUAUGAAAGCUUAAAUGCACGAACAUCUCAUCGAUAAGUCUAUAAAUGAAGGAUUAUUUUUGUUGUUA